rnacentral:rRNA from 1 species
AGGAUAAACGCUGGCGGCGUGCCUAACACAUGCAAGUCGAACGCGCUUUCCUCUUCGGAGGGGAGCGAGUGGCGGACGGGUGAGUAACACAUGGGUACCUACCCCACAGUGAGGGAUACCGGCGAGAAAUCGCCGACAAUACCGCAUACGCUUCCCGGUGGAGACAGCGGGAAGCAAAGUUGCGCAAGCGACGCUGAGGGAUGGGCCUGUGGCCGAUUAGCUAGUUGGGGGGGUAAUGGCCUCCCAAGGCGACGAUCGGUAGCUGGUCUGAGAGGACGAUCAGCCACACUGGGAUUGAGACACGGCCCAGACUCCUACGGGAGGCAGCAGUGGGGAAUAUUGGACAAUGGGCGCAAGCCUGAUCCAGCAAUGCCGCGUGGGUGAAGAAGGUCUUCGGAUUGUAAAGCCCUUUCGGCGGGGACGAUGAUGACGGUACCCGCAGAAGAGCCCGGCUAACUUCGUGCCAGCAGCCGC